AGGACUAACGCUGGCGGCGUGCCUAACACAUGCAAGUCGAACGAGGGGUAGCAAUACCCCUAGUGGCAGACGGGUGAGUAACACGUAGUCAACCUACCUCUUAAUGGGGGAUAACUAGCCGAAAGGUUAGCUAAUACCGCAUACGAUCGUCGAGUGGCAUCACACGACGAUGAAAGGAGCAAUCCGUUGAGAGAGGGGACUGCGUCCCAUUAGUUAGUUGGUGGGGUAAUGGCCUACCAAGACUCCGAUGGGUAGCUGGCUUGAGAGAGCGACCAGCCACACUGGAACUGAGACACGGUCCAGACUCCUACGGGAGGCAGCAGUGAGGAAUUUUCCGCAAUGGGCGAAAGCCUGACGGAGCGACGCCGCGUGUGGGAAGAAGGCCUUCGGGUCGUAAACCACUGUCGAAGGGGAAGAUAUUGACGGUACCCUUGGAGGAAGCCCCGGCUAACUACGUGCCAGCAGCCGC
rnacentral:rRNA from 1 species